rnacentral:tRNA from 1 species
GCCGGUAUAGCUCAGCUGGUAGAGCAACUGACUUGUAAUCAGUAGGUCCCGGGUGCGACUCCUGGUGCCGGCACCA